rnacentral:rRNA from 1 species
AUUGAACGCUGGCGGCAGGCCUAACACAUGCAAGUCGAGCGGAUGAAGGGAGCUUGCUCCUGGAUUCAGCGGCGGACGGGUGAGUAAUGCCUAGGAAUCUGCCUGGUAGUGGGGGAUAACGUCCGGAAACGGGCGCUAAUACCGCAUACGUCCUGAGGGAGAAAGUGGGGGAUCUUCGGACCUCACGCUAUCAGAUGAGCCUAGGUCGGAUUAGCUAGUUGGUGGGGUAAAGGCCUACCAAGGCGACGAUCCGUAACUGGUCUGAGAGGAUGAUCAGUCACACUGGAACUGAGACACGGUCCAGACUCCUACGGGAGGCAGCAGUGGGGAAUGUUGGGCAAUGGGCGAAAGCCUGGUCCAGCCAUGCCGCGUGUGUGAAGAAGGUCUUCGGAUUGUAAAGCACUUUAAGUUGGGAGGAAGGGCAGUAAGUUAAUACCUUGCUGUUUUGACGUUACCAACAGAAUAAGCACCGGCUAACUUCGUG